rnacentral:rRNA from 1 species
CCUACGGGAGGCAGCAGUGGGGAAUUUUGGACAAUGGGCGCAAGCCUGAUCCAGCAAUGCCGCGUGCAGGAUGAAGGCCUUCGGGUUGUAAACUGCUUUUGUACGGAACGAAACGGCUCUUUCUAAUAAAGAGAGCUAAUGACGGUACCGUAAGAAUAAGCACCGGCUAACUACGUGCCAGCAGCCGCGGUAAUACGUAGGGUGCGAGCGUUAAUCGGAAUUACUGGGCGUAAAGCGUGCGCAGGCGGUUAUAUAAGACAGAUGUGAAAUCCCCGGGCUCAACCUGGGACCUGCAUUUGUGACUGUAUAGCUAGAGUACGGUAGAGGGGGAUGGAAUUCCGCGUGUAGCAGUGAAAUGCGUAGAUAUGCGGAGGAACACCGAUGGCGAAGGCAAUCCCCUGGACCUGUACUGACGCUCAUGCACGAAAGCGUGGGGAGCAAACAGGAUUAGAUACCCUGGUAGUCCACGCCCUAAACGAUGUCAACUGGUUGUUGGGUCUUCACUGACUCAGUAACGAAGCUAACGCGUGAAGUUGACCGCCUGGGGAAGUACGGCCGCAAGGUUGAAACUUCAAAGGAAUUGACGGCGNGAGAGNGCCGACGGACGACGACGAGGGGAGGAGGAG